AUGAACGCUAGCGGCUUGCCUGAGAUAUGCAAGUCGAACGUCUUUUUGCAGCAAUGCAAAAAGUAGUGGCGGACGGCUGAGUAACACGUAGGGACCUGCCCCUAGGUAAGGGAUAGCCCACCGAAAGGUGGGGUAAUACUUUAUAGUCCUUUACAGGUAAAGAGCGUAACUGCUCGCCAAGGGAUGGACCUGCGACUUAUCAGAUAGUUGGUGAGGUAAUGGCUCACCAAGUCUACGACGAGUAGCUGGCUUAAGAGAGUGGUCAGCCAGAGGGGUACUGAGACACGGACCCCACUCCUACGGGAGGCAGCAAUCAGGAAUAGUCGGCAAUGGGCGAAAGCCUGACCGUACGACGUCGCGUGUAGGAAGAAGUUCUCAACGAGGCGUAAACUACUGUUGUAAGGGAAGAAGUUCACCUUUGGUGAAUUGACGGUACCUUACUAGAAAGGGGCCGCUAACUGCGUGCCAGAAGCGUCGGUAAGACGUGGGCCCCAAGCGUUAUCCGGUAUCAUUGGGCGUAAAGAGUCGUGUAGGCGGUCUUUCAAGUUGUCUUUUAAAGCUUCCUGCUUAACGGGAAACAAGGAGAUAAUACUGUUGGACUAGAAUUUACUUUAGGGAGAUUGGAACUUAACGAGGAGCAGUGAAAUGCGUUGAUACGUUAAGGAACACCAGUGGCGAAGGCGAAUCUCUGAAAGUUAAUUGACGCUGAGACACGAAAGCUAGGGGAGCGAAGCAGAUUAGAGACCUGCGUAGUCCUAGCCCUAAACCAUGCUUGCUAGCUGCAUUCUUCGGCCUUGUGCUGUAGGGUGUGGCGCAGGUAACCCGUUAAGCAAGCCGCCUGGGGAGUACGGUCGCAAGGCUGAAACUCAAAGGAAUUGGCGGGGAGGCACACAACCAGUGGAACAUGUUGUUCAAUUCGAAACGAACCGAAGAACCUCACCAAGACUUGACAUCUAAGCGUUAAGUUUCUAUGAAAGUAGAGACGGUCCGCAAGGAGGCUUAGACAGGUGUUGCAUGGCUGUCGAAAGCUCGUUCCGUGAGGAGUACCCUUAAGUGGGACAACGAGCGCAACCCUCGUUCUGUGUUAUAUCUAUCACAGAAGACUGCCCCGCAGUUUGCGGGGAGGAAGGAGAGGCAGACGUCAAGUCAGCAUGACCCUUAUGUCUUGGGCUACAAACAUGUUACAAUGGACCACACAAUGGACCUUGCCACCUAGUAAUAGGGAGCUAAUCCCAUAAAUUGGUUCUCAGUGGGGAUUGAGGUCUGCAACUCGACCUCAUGAACGCGGAAUUGGUAGUAAUCGCGGAUCAGUCAAGCCGCGGUGAAUACGUUCUUGCCUCUUGCACACACCGCCCGUCAAGCCAACAAAGUUGGGAAAAUUUGAAUUUCGUCCUUUGGGCGAAAGAGAAUUCUCUCGGCGAUGGGGGUU
rnacentral:rRNA from 1 species